CAAAUGGCUAAACUCUCAUCAACUUUGUGCUUUUUCCUCCUCCUUGUUUGUGCACUAGGUACUAGUGGAAUUCGUGAUACGACUAGCAUAGGUGCACAUGUGAUAGUACGAGAUGAUCAAUGCUUAACAGCUUUGGGUGUAUGCAGUGAAAAAGUUUGUGAUGAACAGUGUUGUGAAAACAAAUGUAUUAGUAGUUUUAAGACGAAAAAUCCAAAUGGUGGUUGUGAGACACUCCCUGGCUCAGCAUUGAGAAUUUGCAAUUGUCAUCAUGAUUGUUAGAACACACACACACAAAAAAAACUUUUGAUUCAAUACUACAUGUGAUUUAUUUAUGCAUUCUUAAUUGGAAUUCGAUUUAAUGGAAAGAAUUA